UUAUUAUCAUUUUUUUAAUGUAUACUCCAGUUAUUAUUUAUAAUUUUUUUUUAUAAUUAAUAUUUAUAAUGUAAUGUACAAUACUUGGAAAAAUACAUGAACUUUUAGUGCAGAUCAGACAUAUAGACACUUCUCCUUCUGAAUCUCGAUUUCCUCGUUAGGAUUAGAGACAACACAUUAAAAAAUCGAAGACAGAAUAUGUUAUUACGAUAUAUUUUUCGCUUUUAAACAAUCGAGUUCUCGGGGGGGGGGGAUCCGUUGUGAAAUUAAUAUUUCAUUCGUCUGCUAUAAUAUAAUUAAUCAUUUGUCUCUCCCUGCUCGUAGAUAAAAACGAUUCUGCGGGAUCUCGCUCGCGUCGUGCUUGGCAAUCCACGCUUGUCGCCCAGGAGAUCGGUGAAGGAAAAAAAAAAGUUCGAUUCCCAGAUCGAAGGUGAAUAUACUCUCGAGCACACGCGAAAAAUCGUUGCGUAAAAGUUAUUAUAUUACAUUGAAGAAAUUUUUCCGUCGAAAGCUUUUUGGAUUUCUCGUUUCUUUUUUUUUUUUUUUUACUUUAAGGCGCGCACCGAAGCGAUUCAUUAUUCUCACUUAAAUACACGUGGAACACAUUGCACUUAGCUUAACAUACUUACAAACUACCGAGUUUACUUCAUGCUUAAAUAAAUUGCCUGCGACCUGAUGAGUUGCUGUUACACGUCCUAUCGUUCUUUACACAGCUCAUGUAUUACAAAGGAAAUACUGACAGAAAAAAGAAAAAGAACUUAAUUCUUCGCGUAUGCGUAUGUAUGUACGAAGCUGUGAUAGCUCCGCGCGCCGACGUAAGUCGGUUUUUUUUAAAUAUUUAUAUGAAAUACAUUAAACUUUCUACACACACGCGCCAGAAGCGCGUACAGAUGGGAGCUACCACAGCGAAUGUGUGUGUGUGUGUGUACAUCGAUUAGACAAUUCGUUUAUAAUUAAUCGUCUUGGUCGUGGUCGUUUAUUGUACAAUUUGCUAAUUCGCGCAAGCGGCAUGCAAUCUCGAUACACAAUCCGUCACGUCGUAAAGUAUAUAUAUUUACAUCCUUUAAAUGCUACAUCAUAAGAAACAGCAGUUCAGAGAGCAACGGGCUUCCCGAGUCAUAUGUUCCACGAGGCUUAAUGAGUAUUUUUUAUUUCUUUCUUGUUUUCAGUGCCUUGACCGGUGAUGUUCACUCGUUAGGUCUAACUAAACUAGUGAGGACUACAUUGUAAAUCCAAAUGAAAUUCGUCCGCCGAAGAAAUUCUCUUUCCUCUAACACAUUUUCGUGUACAUCGCACAGCGUACAUCUACAAUACUGAUGAUCGUCAUUCAGGAAAAAAACAGUGUAAACGAGAAGCGGCUUUCGAUGACGAAGAUAAAACAAAAAGGAUCCGUGACUCCGUUAUACGCUACGUGAGGUUGAUACAGUACAAACAAGACGUUUUGAUUGCUUCGUUCGAAAUGCGGCGUAAAGACAGUGUAAGUAACUUUGAUUGGUUCACAGAUUCAAACUAAAUUCGAGCGCAACCCCAUCAUCUCGUAAUGCCAAUAAAUUAAGAUUGCGUGCGUUGCGCUUCCUAAUUCAUUACUCAGCGAUCCGCAUAUGUACAUUCAGGGCACAUAGAGCACGCAACACGGGGGUAUAUAUAUAUACACACACACAAGCGUUUCUUAAUAUCUUCUGAAUUGUAUGUAUAUAUCAAUCGAAGGUAGAUCGCGGAAAUUUGCCCUCCCUUAGAUUCGGUACCCCGUAUUGCCCGAGUUGAAAUUACUUAUACGCGUAUAUUGGUGCAAUGCGACGCACAAGGAUAUCCACGAAGCAGAUCCGCGGCGACGCCGAUGUCUUUCGGAGAAAGCGUCGUGGACAUCGCUACAGCACGCGGCGUCAGCUAUAUAAGGAAUGUACGAGUAGUCGCUAUUUAAACAAGUAAUAAUGAUUCAGCGCUUACUUUUUUUUUUCUCCUCUAUAUGUACAACGAUUAUUAUAGAAGGAUCGCCAGAUGCAACGAUCCUCGCGUUUUGCGCAGCUGCAUGUUUGGAUAUUACAUUCACUCGCACGCGACUCACGCUUUGGAUACUUUCUAACAGACGCGCGUAGUUUGCUCAUCAGAAGCGACGUACUGUUUUUUUUUUUUUUUUUCAUAAGGUACAAAAGAAGCGUGACACAGCUGCGCAAGACGCGAUCCUAUACCUAAUCACGUCCGUUGCUAUACGACACACACCAAUUUCACGUUUGAACGUCGUUAAAAUGCCAACAGUACAUGUUCCCCGCAUUUUCGUGAGCGUAUCUCGUAUAUCGACCGUAUAUACGCUUCGUCGAUUUAGCGUAAUCGAAGGUGGUGGAAGUACCUGUGGGUGGAUGUAUUAACCGUGUACAUCUCCAAUUGUGCAUUGCAACAGAACGACGAUGAACGUAUUCAUUGAGCAGAGGCACUAUUUUAAUAGCGGCACAGCAACGUUUUCCUUCCUUUCGGCGCGCGCGAAUCUCGAAAGUAAAUCGGGGAGAGGCGAGGAGCCCUUUAAAAAAAACGAGCUCUUUGUUGGAAAAAGCGAGUGUACAGCAAUACAUAGGGGAUCUUUUCGUAUAAUUUUGUUAAUUUUGCCGCACCACAAGAAUGAAGGAAAAUGAGAUCGUAUCGCUAUCAAAAUGACAAUGGUACAACUUCAAAAUACAAUUACAAUGACUAGUUACACUGAUUGCGACAAGAAAGGGGAGAGAUUAUGUUGGAAAUACUGUAGAGAUUAAUACGUAAUCGCGGAAAAAGUUCGGCUAAGUACAUAAUACUACAACUAAUACUUUGUAGCUGUCCGUAUCUUGUAAAGUACAUAAAAUUAGAUUA